rnacentral:rRNA from 1 species
AGUGAACGCUGGCGGUAGGCCUAACACAUGCAAGUCGAACGGCAGCACAGAGGAGCUUGCUCCUUGGGUGGCGAGUGGCGGACGGGUGAGGAAUACAUCGGAAUCUACCUUGUCGUGGGG